GAUGAACGCUAGCUAUAGGCUUAACACAUGCAAGUCGAGGGGAAACGGCAUUAUGUGCUUGCACAUUUUGGACGUCGACCGGCGCACGGGUGAGUAUCGCGUAUCCAACCUGCCCUUUACUUGGGGAUACCCCGUUGAAAGACGGCCUAAUACCCGAUGUAAUUCAUUGAUGGCAUCAGAUAUGAAUAAAAGAUUUAUCGGUAAAGGAUGGGGAUGCGUCUGAUUAGCUUGUUGGUGAGGUAAAGGCUCACCAAGGCGACGAUCAGUAGGGGUUCUGAGAGGAAGGUCCCCCACAUUGGAACUGAGACACGGUCCAAACUCCUACGGGAGGCAGCAGUGAGGAAUAUUGGUCAAUGGGCGCAAGCCUGAACCAGCCAAGUAGCGUGCAGGAAGACGGCCCUAUGGGUUGUAAACUGCUUUUAUACGAGAAUAAUUUGAUGCACGUGUGCGUUAUUGCAUGUAUCGUAUGAAUAAGGACCGGCUAAUUCCGUGCCAGCAGCCGCGGUAAUACGGAAGGUCCAGGCGUUAUCCGGAUUUAUUGGGUUUAAAGGGAGUGUAGGCGGUUUGUUAAGCGUGUUGUGAAAUUUAGGUGCUCAACAUUUAACUUGCAGCGCGAACUGUCAGACUUGAGUACACGCAACGUAUGCGGAAUUCAUGGUGUAGCGGUGAAAUGCUUAGAUAUCAUGAAGAACUCCGAUUGCGAAGGCAGCAUACGGGGGUGUAACUGACGCUUAAGCUCGAAGGUGCGGGUAUCGAACAGG
rnacentral:rRNA from 1 species